rnacentral:rRNA from 1 species
CCUAUCUGUCGGGUUUUUGGCUUCGGAAUAUCCCUCGAAUGGGAACCCGUAGCAGGUGCGAGGCCUGUAACGAGGCGAUACCCGUCAGUUUGAGCCUCCAUAGAGUCGGGUUACUUGAGAGUGUAGCCCAAAGCGGAAGGUAAACCCCUUCUAAAACUAAAUAUUACCACGAGACCGAUAGCGAACAAGUACCGCGAGGGAAAGUUGAAAAGAACUUUGAAGAGAGAGUUCAAAAGGGCGUGAAACCGCUUAGAAGAAAACGGACGGAGCCGUCAGGGGCCUUCGGGAAUCAGUCUUACGAUGCGCGAAGGUGCAACGGUUCGGAGCGCAAGUCCGACCGUGGUAUAGUUAGCGUUCGUUAGGCGCAUUUCUCGAGGGUAAGCACUGCGACCGAUACGAAAGGCCAAUGAAGCGCUCGGAUUGAGGGCGAGACCUCUCGCGGGGUCUCGUAACCAGUCCUUGCGUACUUAUCAUUGGAUCGCAGUAUGUAUCGAGAGCCAAAGUUUGAUUAUAUGUCGG